ACGGGAAUAGUUCAACGGUUAGAAUAGAGGUCUCCAAAACCUUUGAUCUGGGUUCGAAUCCUAGUUCCCGUG
rnacentral:tRNA from 1 species